CAGACUACCAGCUGAGACACCUAAUGCUAGCCAGGCGACCAGGCUAUGUAUCUCCUGUUGGCCAGGAAGAGGACCACCCGAUUCUGAGACCCACUGCACAGACAACCUGGGCCUUUGCUGCACACAGCCUACCAUGGAGGGUCCAGGGAUGUGCCCCAGCUUGGGAGGAAGGCGACCACUGCAGAGGUGUGGCCCAGGCACGACCAAAGUCUCCCGAGACCAUACAGAACCACUCAUCUGGACCUCAGAUUGACAUCUGGAAUGAGUCCCUCAGCAUCCUCAGACACUUGUUCUCAUCAUCGAUCCAGAUAAGCACCCUCCCAGCAAAUAAGUAUUUCCAUUGCCAGGCUUAUUUUGUGCAA